rnacentral:rRNA from 1 species
CCUACGGGUGGCAGCAGUGGGGAAUAUUGCACAAUGGGGGAAACCCUGAUGCAGCGACGCCGCGUGAAGGAAGAAGUAUCUCGGUAUGUAAACUUCUAUCAGCAGGGAAGAAAAUGACGGUACCUGACUAAGAAGCACCGGCUAACUACGUGCCAGCAGCCGCGGUAAUACGUAGGGGGCACGCGUUAUCCGGAUUUAAUGGGUGGAAAGGGAGCGUAGACGGAAGGGCAAGUCUGAUGUGAAAGGCCGGGGCUUAACCCCAGGACUGCCUUUGAAACUGUUUUUCUAGAGUGCCGGAGAGGAAAGCGGAAUUCCUAGGGUAGGGGUGAAAUCCGUAGAUAUUAGGAGGAACAUCAGUGGCGAAGGCGGCUUUCUGGAACGUAACUGACGUUGAGGAGCGAAAGCGUGGGGAGCAAACAGGAUUAGAUACCCCAGUAGUC